UACCAUUUUAUGGCUUUACAGCCUUCGCCUUUUCUUCCAAAGCAAGUUCCACUUGUUAUAAAGUUAGGAUUUUUCUUUUAAUUAAUAAAGUUAGGAGGGCGUUGUAUCAUAAUAUAUGCUUUACAGUCAAUUACCAGAUUAUUUAUUAAACUAGUGAAAUGUUAAUGCUCAUGCAAGAAGAUUCAUUUUAAUUCUAAGAUUGAUGUUCGAA
rnacentral:misc_RNA from 1 species